rnacentral:rRNA from 1 species
AUGUGUAGAGAUGUGAGGAAUACCGAAUGUGAUACGUCAUGCNNNCUGCGACGUCUNGACGUAAUGCACGAAAGCGUGGCGGAGCANACAGGAUUAGAUACCUGUUNGUCCACACUCUAAACGAUGUCAACUAGUACUUGGGGAUUCAUUCCUCUAGUAACAUAGCUAACGCGUGAAGUUCACGCGCGGGGAGUACGGUAGCUAGAUGAUAUCUCACGGUAUUGAAGAGGACCCGCACCAGCCGUUNUCACGUGGAUUANUUCGAUGCAACGCGAAAAACGUACCUACCGNUGACAUGCCACUAACGAAGCAGAGAUGCUUCAGGUGCCCGAAAGGGAAAGUGGACACAGGUGCUGCAUGGCUGUCGUCAGCUCGAAAAGUGAGAUGUUGGGUUAAGUCCUGCAACGAGCGCAAGCCUUGUCUCUAGCUGGUACGAACGCGCACUCUAGAAAGACCCCCGGUGACAAACCGGAGGAAUGUGGGGAGGAUGUCAAGUCCUCAGGGCCUUUAUGGGUAGUCCGUCACACGUCAUACAUUGGCGCGUACAGAGGGUUGCCACCCCACGAGGGGGAGCUAAUACCAGAAACUCCAUUGUAGUGCGGAUCGU